GUGUGUGUCCGUGUGUGCGUGUGUGCGCGUGUGCGUGUGCGUGUCUGUGCGCUCCCGCCGCCGUCGCCGAGCGCCCCCCUCUCCGCCCUCGCGCUCGCGCUCCCUCGCGCCGGCGCCGGCUCCCCAGCCCAAGCCGGGCAGGGCCGGGCUUUAUUAAUAUGCUAAUUGUCCUGCUAGUGGGAGGGGAGAGCCGUGUCAAAGUGACCCGGGAGAGCGCGCAGCAAGCGACGACGUGCGUGCGCCGCGCGGCGGGCGGGCGGCGAGGGGCUGGGAGCGCUCGGGGAACGGCAUGCAUGUGACGCAGCUUUUAAAAAAGGAGACGGAGGCAGAGACCCCAGAGAGGGAGGGCGAAGGGGAGGGCUUGGAGGCGCAGCCGCGCGCUCGGUGUCCGUCCUCCGGGUGCCGCCGGAUGGGGAGUCUGGCUGAGCCGGAGCGGGAGCCGCGGCUGGGGGAGGCGGAGCCGGGGUGGGCAGUGUGGUGUAUCUCUCUCCACCCCGGGCCGCGCUCCGGGAGGGAAAAGGGACUGCAGACCCCCUGUCCGUGCUCCCUGCUGAGACGCCAGCCUUCUUCUGGAGGCCCCUUGUUUCGCGUCCCUACCCUAGGCUGGAUGGCUGCUGUCCUUUGAGGGCUUCGGAGAUGAGAACAGGAAACAGGCCCCUCCAGUGCCCCCUAACCCAGAGAGGCAGAGGCUGUGGGCCGUGGGGGGUUGGAUGGGAGAUGAUGUGGAUGGUCAAUGUAAGGAACACUCCUUCCCCUGGGAGGAGCCUCCCAACCUUCAGUCACACUUCAAGGACUCCCCAACCCAGCCCUAGGAGGGGAGGGGCUCCAUCUCCAUCCCUUCCCAAAAGCUCAGCUUUAGCUGCCUCAUAAACAGGAAAUACCUAUUAGCCAGGAGGAGGGAAGGGAGGGGAGCCGCCUGGAGUAGAGAGUUGACCCCCUCCCUCCUGGGGUCCCCAGCUGCUAGCUUUUCUUUCUUAAGUUUCAGUAUGGGCUCCAGGGAUAGACGAUGGAGACUUGGACUAGUGUCUCCUCCCUAGGGCGUCUGGCCCUGACUGGGUUUUUGCUGAGGGAGCAUGAAAUGAUGGAACGGUGCAGAGUCCAGGGAUUGAAAAGAAGGCCUGCCUAGGAAUGGAGACCCUCCCCACCAUGUGCUUAGGAUGGGGGAUAGGGGAGCUUGUACACUGUGGAGUCUCCCACCCCCAGGUUUCCCCAUCUCCACCCCCACCAGGAGCAGAGAGGACCUGACUGAAGCCAUCCACACUCACACAAGUAUUUCCUUGGCAGCAUCCCCUGCCUGAGUGCACCCCCUCCCUGCAUUCUCCCAGACAAAGGUCAGCACUAGAGGGAGUAGAGAGAACAUAAGGCAACAGAACACUGGCCCGAAAUUGUGGAUACCUAGGUUUGAACGCAAGAUUCGCUCCUCAAUACCUGAGUGAUUUGAGACAACUGACCACCCCACCUGGGACACUAGCUUUAUCCUCUGUAACCUAUGGCUUGGUGAGUAUCAAACUAGACAAUGUACACCCAGUCACGUAGCCCAGUGUCAGCCAGGCAGUCCUGUAAAUACGUGUUCUUUCUGCCCUUUUUUUUUUUUUUUUUUUAAGAUUAUCCAAUUCCAAGAGAGGAGGGGGCUGGAUUGGCAGGACAAUUUGAGAUGGUUUGGAGGAGGGGGAAUACCUACCUUGACCUCCUUCUCUCUUUUCUGUCCAUGAAUUUGCCUUCCUCCAAUCCUGUGACCACUUACGCCUAAGGCCACUCAUUCCAAACAACUAGCUUGGUCAGAUUCCAUGCUGACCAACACAAUGGUGAUCAUCUGGGUGGACAGGGGGACUACAACCCACCCUAUAAAGGUCUUUGCCUCCUGUGAAUCUGAGAUUUCCCUCUCCUAGAUUACACAUGUGGAAGGUAGAAGCUUAGGAAGGAAGAAAAAACUGCCUUACUUGAGCAUGCACUAAUGCCAGGCACUGCCCUAGGCCUUUUACACUUGCCGACUCAUUUACCUUUCAUGAGGACCUUUGGAAGAAGGUGCUAUUACCUCCAUUGAACAAGUAGGAAAACUGAAGUUCAGAGAUGAUAAUAAAUUUGAACUUGCCUGUAAAACACUGUUCUCCCUCUUCUUCACCUACUAGUUAAUGCUUCCUUAACACCUUAGUUCUAGCUUCACCUUCUCUGGGAAGAUUACCCUUCCCACUCCCACUGACACUAUAGCCCAGUUACCGGUAAGGAAAUACCAUCUCAGUACUGUUGAAUGGGUGGUUAAAAUAAGUGAUUGGGGCUCCUACAGGAACUCCAUUUAGGCAAGUUAGUUAACUUUGCCAAGGUAACAGAGCUAACAAGCACUUGACCCAUUGCUCCACUCCUUGCCUUACUUCUAGUGUGGAUCA
rnacentral:lncRNA from 1 species